rnacentral:rRNA from 1 species
CCUACGGGAGGCUGCAGUGAGGAAUAUUGGUCAAUGGGCGGGAGCCUGAACCAGCCAAGUCGCGUGAGGGAAGACGGUCCUAUGGCUUGUAAACCUCUUUAGGCGGGGAGCAAUGCCGGGCACGCGUGCCCGGAGGGAGAGUACCCGCAGAAUAAGCAUCGGCUAACCCCGUGCCAGGAGCCGGGGGAAUACGGAGGAUGCGAGUGUUAUCGGGAUUUAUUGGGUUAAGAGGGUGCGGAGGGGGAUUUUUAAGUGAGCGGUAAAGUGUCCGGUCGAAACCCGGGCCGGCCGUUGAUACUGGGGAUCUUGAGUGGGCGAGAAGUAUGAGGAAUGCGUGGUGUAGCGGUGAAAUGCAUAGAUAUCACGCAGAACUCCGAUUGCGAAGGCAGCAUACCGGCGCCCGACUGACGCUGAGGCACGAAAGCGUGGGGAUCGAACAGGAUUAGAUACCCCGGUAGUC